rnacentral:rRNA from 1 species
AUGAACGUUGGCGGCGUGGAUUAGGCCUGCAAGUCGAGCGAGAACCCCGCAAGGGGGGACAGCGGCGAAAGGGACAGUAAUGUGUAGAUUAUCUGCCCUCAGGUCCGGGAUAGCUGCGGGAAACUGCAGGUAAUACCGGAUAACAUCUCCGGAUCAAAGGUGUGAUUCCGCCUGAGGAUGAGUCUGCAUCCUAUUAGCUAGUUGGUGGGGUAAUGGCCUACCAAGGCAUUGAUGGGUAGCAGGUGUGAGAGCACGACCUGCGUCAUUGGGACUGAGACACUGCCCAGACACCUACGGGUGGCUGCAGUCGAGAAUCUUCGGCAAUGGGCGCAAGCCUGACCGAGCGACGCCGCGUGUGGGAUGAAGGCCUUCGGGUUGUAAACCACUGUCAGAGGGGAUGAAAUGCAGGUGGGUUCUCCCAUCUGUUUGACAUAGCCUCAGAGGAAGGACGGGCUAAGUUCGUG